AGUAAAUUUACCUGAAGCAUGGAAUUUCUGGUAUAUAAAAUCAUUCGAAGGAUUGUGAGAUAACUCCAUUGCCAAAAUAUCACUAGCAUCUUUCCAUUCAAAUUUUUGUCUAACCAUAUUUGUCUUCCAAGACGUACCAUUAUGUUCAACAAAGUUCUCAACCCUCCACUUUCUCGAGUCUGCUAGUAAUUGGCCAGAACGUACCACUGGUAUUCUUCCAUAAACCAAGCCAUGCUAGCCGUUAGAACACUCUUUUCGUUUGCUAUCUUCCAGAUGCAACAUCCAUGUGGGCUGAAAAUCACCUGUACCUCCAAAAGAUUAUGAUGCAACCUCAUUGCUUGUUUAAACAACAAUAAACCUGAUCAAAUGUCGGGCCGGGCCGAGGCAUAAAAACCAGCCCGCUAUGUCGGGCCGGGUCGAGCAAAGAUUCAGGCCAAAAAAUUGACCCCAAGCCCGCUAUUUUGGGCCUAAAAUAAAUUAGCACUACUUGGUGAAAUAGGUUCUUUUAGCAUCAAUUUCGAACCAUCUGCUAGAGGUUGUAACAAUCCGAACGAUCCCACUACAUCAGGACCUUUUCAUACAAAAUAAAAUAUAUUUUGUAGUUGAAUGCAAAUAUGUCGAUAGAGUUUUGUUAUUGUUGGUAUGCUCAGUGAUGACUUGGAUCAUUUAUGUUGGGUUUGGUCAAAAUAAAUUGGUUAGAAUUAUUGAUGGAAAAUUAUUUUUGGGUACUAGUUUAUUUCCCUAGAGAACUGAGAUUGUAUAUUGAGCGAGUUAUAUCAUUGUGGUAAUUUUUGCCUUUAUAGAGAAGUAUAAUAUGUAAAUCGUGAUGGGUAGUGAUCAGAUUAUGAGAUUAGCAAAAGAUCGAGAAUUUUAUAUUAUUGGAUUGAGGCUCAGUGUUAUAGACCUUAGUCCUUGGCAUGUUGGUAAUGAGAUGAUAACCAUUAGUAGAGGAGCAAGAUACAAUCUUUAUUAUUUUCUUAAUAUCCCGAUAGUGGGAUUUGGUCCAAAAGUGUCAUUGGCUCAGUGAGUCUUUCUAGUAGCUAUUGAGAGUUUCAAGUUUUUAUACUUGUUGGUUUAUUUAUUCGAAUUACCCAUGUUCAAGGCUAGGUAUAGAACAACGAGCGCGCAUGAUAAAAUCUAUAGUAUUUAUAUAGUAUGAAGUUAGUUUUAUCUUUGGGAUAAUACUUAAAAUAUAGUUUCAUACUACAUUGUUUACUUGAGCCUUUAUUAUUCUAUAUUAGUAUGUUUCUGUUUGUAACAAGUGAUUACUCAGCUCUUUUUUGACGUGUGUGUUUAUUUGUUAUGUGUGUUUGUGGCCAUGUCUUUUUCUUAUGGUGGUCUUGCGACGAUCCUUUUGGAAUUUCUCCUCUAUGGUGAGCAGUUAAGAUUGACUGGAGCAUUGCUCGUGAAGGAUGCAGUUACAAGUUGAAGGAGCUCAAGUAUUAUCGUUUAAUCUUUUAUGACAGUUUAAUACUUUUCAGUUGUACAGUUGUAAAUAGAUCACCUAGUAAUCGAGUUGUAAUAAUUUAAGUUUUGUGAGCCUUAGCACUUGACAAUAUGGUCAAAUGUGGCGGUGAUACCUCCGAUUUAGGUGUAAGAUUCCGCAAAUUUUUAUAAAGUCUUUUAUAUUCUUAUUCA